AGAGUUUGAUCCUGGCUCAGAACGAACGCUGGCGGCAGGCUUAACACAUGCAAGUCGAACGCCCCGCAAGGGAGUGGCAGACGGGUGAGUAACGCGUGGGAAUCUACCCAGAACUUCGGAACAACUGAGGGAAACUUCAGCUAAUACCGGAUACGCCCUACGGGGGAAAGAUUUAUCGGUUUUGGAUGAGCCCGCGUUGGAUUAGCUAGUUGGUGAGGUAAUGGCUCACCAAGGCGACGAUCCAUAGCUGGUCUGAGAGGAUGGCCCCCCACACUGGUACUGAGACACGGACCAGACUCCUACGGGAGGCAGCAGUAAGGAAUAUUGGUCAAUGGAGGGAACUCUGAACCAGCCAUGCCGCGUGCAGGAAGACAGCCCUCUGGGUCGUAAACUGCUUUUAUUCGGGAAUAAACCUUUCUACGUGUAGAGAGCUGAAUGUACCGAAGAAUAAGGAUCGGCUAACUCCGUGCCAGCAGCCGCGGUAAUACGGAGGAUCCAAGCGUUAUCCGGAUUUAUUGGGUUUAAAGGGUGCGUAGGCGGCUUAUUAAGUCAGGGGUGAAAGACGGUGGCUCAACCAUCGCAGUGCCCUUGAUACUGAUGAGCUUGAAUGAACUAGAGGUAGGCGGAAUGUGACAAGUAGCGGUGAAAUGCAUAGAUAUGUCGCAGAACACCGAUUGCGAAGGCAGCUUACUAUGGUUUUAUUGACGCUGAGGCACGAAAGCGAGGGGAUCAAACAGGAUUAGAUACCCUGGUAGUCCACGCCCUAAACGAUGAAUACUCGCUGUUAGCGAUAUACAGUUAGCGGCUAAGCGAAAGCGUUAAGUAUUCCACCUGGGGAGUACGCCCGCAAGGGUGAAACUCAAAGGAAUUGACGGGGGCCCGCACAAGCGGAGGAGCAUGUGGUUUAAUUCGAUGAUACGCGAGGAACCUUACCCGGGCUUGAAAGUUACUGAAUAACUCAGAGAUGAGUUAGUCCGCAAGGACAGGAAACUAGGUGCUGCAUGGCUGUCGUCAGCUCGUGCCGUGAGGUGUUGGGUUAAGUCCCGCAACGAGCGCAACCCCUAUGUUUAGUUGCCAGCACGUAACGGUGGGGGCUCUAAACAGACUGCCUGUGCAAACAGAGAGGAAGGAGGGGACGACGUCAAGUCAUCAUGGCCCUUACGUCCGGGGCUACACACGUGCUACAAUGGAUGGUACAGAGGGCAGCUAGCUGGUAACAGCAUGCGAAUCUCCAAAAGCCAUUCACAGUUCGGAUAGAGGUCUGCAACUCGACCUCUUGAAGUUGGAUUCGCUAGUAAUCGCGUAUCAGCAAUGACGCGGUGAAUACGUUCCCGGGCCUUGUACACACCGCCCGUCAAGCCAUGGAAGUUGGGGGUACCUAAAGUAUGUAACCGUAAGGAGCGUCCUAGGGUAAAACCGAUAACUGGGGCUAAGUCGUAACAAGGUA
rnacentral:rRNA from 1 species